UGUUCAUUAUAAAUGAUCGCGUCACACUACUUGUGUGAUGAGGAAAGUCCGAACUUCCUCUAUUAAACCAGAAAAAAUGUAGCGGGUAAUACCCGUCGGUGUACUGGUGACAGUACAUUAGGGACAGUGCCACAGAGACUAUACUAGUCCUAAUUUAUUAGGAUAAAACGUGAAAAGAGUAUGGAAGUUUUUAUUCUUAAGACAAAAGCUACUAUACUUCCUCCGCUAUCCAGCGGGGGACGGUAAACCCUACAUGGGAGAAAGAGCAGCGUUCUAAUUUAUUAGUUCGAAAAGUUAGCUCGUUUGAACUAAAUAGCAAUAUUUAGUCUAGAGAAAUGAUCAUUGCUUGAUUUAUCAAGUUACAAAAUUCGGCUUACUGUAAUGAACAAGAU
rnacentral:RNase_P_RNA from 5 species